UAUGUAAAAUCGAUUAACCUAAGGACCUAAUUCGACUCGAUGGUUUGAGCCUAAUUUGCUUGAGCUAACCUAUUUGGACCAUUUGACUUAUUGGUGCCUAAGGUUAGUAAUUGAGAGGUGGUUAUUUAAUUAAUUUUGUUGGCUGACCUAGCCAAUUUAUUGGUAUUUAAGGAAAAUAACGGAGGGACCCCCACUGAUCUCCACUUAUCUGGCU
rnacentral:lncRNA from 1 species